rnacentral:rRNA from 1 species
CGGACGGGUGAGUAACGCGUGGAAAACCUGCCGUAUACUGGGGGAUAACACUUAGAAAUAGGUGCUAAUACCGCAUAAGCGCACAGCUUCGCAUGAAGCGGUGUGAAAAACUCUGGUGGUAUACGAUGGUUCCGCGUCUGAUUAGCUAGUUGGUGGGGUAGUGGCCUACCAAGGCAACGAUCAGUAGCCGGCCUGAGAGGGUGAACGGCCACAUUGGGACUGAGACACGGCCCAAACUCCUACGGAAGGCAGCAG